rnacentral:rRNA from 1 species
CCCUUAGAUGUUCUGGGCCGCACGCGCGCUACACUGACGGAGUCAACGAGUUGUCCUGCAUCGGAAGGUGUGGGUAAUCUUUUGAAACUUCGUCGUGCUGGGGAUAGAUCUUUGCAAUUUUCGAUCUUGAACGAGGAAUUCCUAGUAAGCGUGAUUCAUCAGAUCGCGUUGAUUACGUCCCUGCCCUUUGUACACACCGCCCGUCGCUACUACCGACUGGUAAGAUAUCUAAGGAGCAUGGACGUCGGCAGACGCGGUUCGCGCCGUGUCUGCGGGCAGAAGCGCCCCGCAGAUUUCUUGCUGGAGGAAGUAAAAGUCGUAACA